rnacentral:rRNA from 1 species
GGUUUUGUUAAGUCAGAUGUGAAAGCCCCGGGGCUCAAACCUCGGAAUUGCAUUUGAAACUGGCAAACUAGAGUACUGUAGAGGGGGUAGAAUUUCAGGUGUAGCGGUGAAAUGCGUAGAGAUCUGAAGGAAUACCCGGUGGCGAAGGCGGCCCCCCGUCGGACAGAUACUGACACUCAGAUGCGAAAGACGUGGGGAGGCAAACAGGAUUAGAUACCCUCGGUAG